rnacentral:rRNA from 1 species
GUCCACGCCGUAAACGAUGAACACUAGGUGUAGGUGAUGUGAAAGUUAUCUGUGCCGAAGCCAACGCGUUAAGUGUUCCGCCUGGGGAGUACGGCCGCAAGGCUAAAACUCAAAGGAAUUGACGGGGGCCCCGCACAAGCAGCGGAGCGUGUGGUUUAAUUCGAUGCGACGCGAAGAACCUUACCCAGGUUUGACAUGCAUGUAGUAGUGAAGCGAAAGCGGAACGACCCUUCGGGGAGCAUGCACAGGUGCUGCAUGGCUGUCGU